rnacentral:tRNA from 1 species
GGGCCUUUAGUAUAGUGGUAGUACGCUGCAUUCGCAUUGCAGAGACAGGGAUUCGAUUUCCCUAAGGUCCA